rnacentral:lncRNA from 1 species
CAGGUGGGCUCAAUGUCAUCACAAGGGUGCUUAAGAGGGAAAGAGGAAGCCAUGAGGGUCAGAGUCAAAGGAAGACUUGAAGAUACUACACUGCGGACUUUAAAGAUGAAGGAAGGGGCGAAAACCAAGAAUGUGGGAAGCCUCUAGAAGCUAGAGAAGGCAAGGAAACAAAUUUUCCACUAGAGCCUCCAGAAGGAACACAGCCCUGCUGACCCACUGUAAUGUCUGACCUCUAGAUGUGUAAGGGUAGUAAGACUGAAAGUCUCAGAAAGGCACUGUUAAAUUCUUAUUCCUCAACUAUGCAACUCAAAACUGGGGUCCUCAGCAGUGAGCGAGGGGUGAGAGAAGACACUGUAUAAACAUGGCACAUCCUCCUGGAAAGUCAACUUUACUCAAAGCUUUAGAAACCCAGCUCAAACUAGCUGAAGCAGAAAAGACAUUACUGCGCCUAUAAGUUGAAACUUUGGAGGGAUAAAUUUCAGAGGUGUGGCUAGAUCCAACGGCUCUCUGGAAAACUCUGUGAAAAAAAUGCUUCCUCAAGUCCAGAAACCAGAAGCUCAGGAAAUUGUUGCUUGGUUCCUCUUGUUAGAGGCAGAGAUUAUUCAACGACCUACAGGGUAGCGUUUGAACAUUGUUACCAGGAAUCUUUACUUUGCCAUCUUCCAAGUCUGUUCUCCUCAGUAUUGGUUUCAUUUACAAGCAGGCCAUCUCUGCCCUCAUGGCAAUGAUGGUCUUUACUCCAGGCUUAAGACCCUUACUAUCUACUAUUUCCAAAGCGGAGAGAGAACUUCCCACACCUAGUGACCUGUGACACAGGAUUUUAUCCUUCGUACAGAGGGAAUUCAGUUGGCUAACAUAAUCUGCCUUCCAAUGGAGUAAGAAUGUCUGGACUCUUUCCUUCACCUACCCCCAAGACAUGGAGGCGUCUAAAAGAUAAAUAAAACUUGGCAACUGACCGAAGGAGGAAGAGGGGAUUUCAGGCAAAAUCAACGCUGUUCACUACGAGGAGACUUCAGAAAGGUUGCCUGCUUCUGGGGAGCAUAGUCCCUGAUUCCUCAAGACAUACGUUUAUUCUUUUCUUCAAUGUCUUUGCCUGCAGUCAAAACAAAACCAUUACCUUUAGCCAAGUUCACACAUUUCAGCCAAAUCCAUAUGCAUCGGAUCAGUUCUGUAGGUUAUGGGUGAGCAUGAACAUAUAAAAGAGGCACCUGCCUGUGCCUAUCUACUCCAUGGAAUUUCAAAAGGGGCCACUUAUGGAGAAUGUCUUUAGGGACAGAACCAACCACCCUGUCUUUCCUCCAACUCUCAAAGUAACUUCUGGCUUUAAUCCUCAAGUGUCUAUGCUGGAGUUUAAGAAAAAUGUUUUUC